rnacentral:rRNA from 1 species
UACGUAGGGUGCAAGCGUUGUCCGGAUUUAUUGGGCGUAAAGAGCUCGUAGGCGGUUUGGCAAGUCGGGUGUGAAAACUCCAGGCUCAACCUGGAGAUGCCACCCGAUACUGCUAUGACUUGAGUCUGGUAGGGGAGCACGGAAUUCCUGGUGUAGCGGUGAAAUGCGCAGAGAUUAGGAAGAACACCAGUGGCGAAGGCGACUUACUGGACUGUAACUGACGCUGAGGCAUGAAAGCGUGGGGAGCAAACAGG